AGUAGCCACGGGAAUACAGAGGGUGCGAGCGUUAAUCGGAUUUACUGGGCGUAAAGCGUGCGUAGGCGGCUUCUUAAGUCGGAUGUGAAAUCCCUGAGCUUAACUUAGGAAUUGCAUUCGAUACUGGGAAGCUAGAGUAUGGGAGAGGAUGGUAGAAUUCCAGGUGUAGCGGUGAAAUGCGUAGAGAUCUGGAGGAAUACCGAUGGCGAAGGCAGCCAUCUGGCCUAAUACUGACGCUGAGGUACGAAAGCAUGGGGAGCAAACAGGAUUAGAUACCCGUGUAGUCCCUGUCUCUUAUACC
rnacentral:rRNA from 1 species